rnacentral:rRNA from 1 species
UACAGAGGGUGCAAGCGUUGUUCGGAAUUACUGGGCGUAAAGCGCACGUAGGCGGCUUUCUAAGUCGGGGGUGAAAUCCUGGAGCUCAACUCCAGAACUGCCUUCGAUACUGGAGAGCUCGAGUCCGGGAGAGGUGAGUGGAACUGCGAGUGUAGAGGUGAAAUUCGUAGAUAUUCGCAAGAACACCAGUGGCGAAGGCGGCUCACUGGCCCGGUACUGACGCUGAGGUGUGAAAGCGUGGGGAGCAAACAGG